AAAUCCAAGCCUUCACCAACUCCCUACUAUUAUAAAUCACCACCACCUCCAUCACCGGUUUACAUAUACAAGUCUCCACCUCCACCAUCACCUACAUAUGUAUACAAGUCACCACCUCCACCAGUUCACCACUAUUCUCCUCCGUACUAUUACCAAUCCCCACCACCACCUUCACCAAAACCCAAUCCUCCAUAUUACUACCAAUCCCCACCUCCACCUUCACCAAAACCCAAGCCUCCGUACUACUACCAAUCUCCACCUCCACCAACACCAGUAGUAAAGCCACCUUACUACUACCAAUCUCCACCUCCACCAUCACCGGUACCCAAACCUCCAUACUACUACCAAUCACCACCUCCACCAUCACCAAAACCCAAGCCUCCAUACUACUACCAAUCCCCACCUCCACCAACACCAGUAGUAAAGCCACCUUACUACUACCAAUCUCCACCUCCACCAUCACCGGUACCCAAACCUCCAUACUACUACCAAUCACCACCUCCACCAUCACCAAAACCCAAGCCUCCAUACUACUACCAAUCCCCACCUCCUCCAUCACCAGUACCUAAGCCUCCAUACUACUACCAAUCUCCACCACCCCCAUCACCAGUACCCAAGCCUCCAUACUAUUACCAAUCUCCACCUCCACCUUCACCGAAACCCAAGCCUCCGUACUAUUACCAAUCCCCACCACCACCUUCACCAAAACCAAAGCCUCCGUACUAUUACCAAUCCCCACCUCCACCAUCGCCAGUACCCAAGCCUCCGUACUACUACCAAUCUCCGCCUCCACCAUCACCGGUACCUAAACCUCCAUACUACUACCAAUCUCCACCUCCACCAUCACCAGUAACAAAGCCUCCGUACUAUUACCAAUCUCCGCCUCCACCAUCACCGGUACCUAAACCUCCAUACUACUAUCAAUCUCCACCUCCACCUUCACCAAAACCCAAGCCUCCGUACUAUUACCAAUCCCCACCUCCACCUUCACCUAAACCCAAGCCUCCUUACUACUACCAAUCCCCACCUCCUCCGUCACCGGUGCCUAAACCUCCAUACUAUUACCAAUCUCCACCUCCACCAUCACCAUCACCCCCACCACCUUAUUAUUACCAUUCUCCUCCUCCACCAUCACCAUCUCCCCCUC
rnacentral:lncRNA from 1 species